AGACCACUGGGUUGAUAGGCAGGAUGUGGAAGCAAGGACUGAAGACUUGUGCAGCUGACCUGUACUAAUAGGCCGAUGGCUUACAACACACAA
rnacentral:rRNA from 1 species